CGGACCUUCAACUUGCCUGGGGCUGUCUCUGUCCCUCGGGCGAGGGGCUCCUGGGGACCCAGGACACCUGGCCACGGGGAGGCGGGGCAUGGGGGGCAGAAAGCCAGAUGGAGCGGGUAGGAGAAGGGGGGUGCUGGGAGGAGUCAAGGAGGGAGAGAGGGGGCGUGCAUGGGGCGCGGAGUUAAGAGCCACCGAGCCUGGGCGCGGUGUGCAGGCGAGGGCCACGGCCUUCGCAGCAGCGGGGAACGCGGGGAGUCGAGGCACCCAGCGGGCCGGGGAAGAAGGUGGGGGACUCCGCGGACGCCGAGGAGAGGGCACUGCGGAGUCAGCAGGCCCUGUAGGGAGUCGGAGAGGGGCUGAGCAGAUCCUGAAGGCGGGCGGGGGACGCACCUUUCGGCGGGGCAGGGUGCCCCCGGACACGGCGAGCGCGCGGUACAGCUCGGCAGGGUGAUAGUCCUCCAGCGCCGCGUACAGCUCGUCCGCUGGGGGCCCAGGGGUGGCGGCUGCGGCAGGGGGUCCCGGGGUCGGGACCGGAGCGGCGGGCGCGACUUCCGAGUCGGGAGUCCGGGCGGCGGGGUCCGGGGUGGCCGCCGCCUCCUCCUUCUGCUGCAGCUUCCUGAGUCGGCGGAGGGUCAUGGCUCCGGCGCCGGACGCCCCUCAGAGACGGCGCUGGCUCCCCUCGGCGGGGCUGGCGGCGGCUGGGGGAUGCCAGCCGGGCGGGCCGCGGGUCGCCUCCCUUUAUAGGCUCCGAGAGCGGGGCGGGGUUGGGGGCGGGCGGGGAGCUGCCUCGGGUGGCCUCGCCCCCAGCACGGAGGACCCUCCCCGCGAGGCGCCGCCGCCCUGGAGCCCCGCCCACGGCGCUCGACGGCCGGGGAAACUGCGGGAGCUGGGCGCUCAGUGGGGGAAAACGAGCCGCGGACGCGAAGGGGCGGGAUGAGGCCCCCGGGGCGGGGCUCGGGGCUCGGGGCUGCGUGAUACCUGGAGGGGUCUGUGAAGGGACAUUGCGCAAGGUUUGAAAUUUAGGGACGAAUAGCUCUGGCGAUUCAUGGAGUGGGGCACGGUAAGAGGUCACUGUAAGAAGCCUGGGGAGUCGGGGAGGUAGGGAGAGUCACGGAGAUCCAAGGGGCUGCAGGAGACUCCAGGGCAGGGAGAGCGGCAGCGGGGCUGCGCAGGAGUAGGGGUGGAGGCCCGAUGGAGGAGGGAGGAGACUCCCUGAACUCACUGCGCAGAAGCCCCCAGGGAGGGAGAGGGCCCAGGAUUUUCCCUUGACGCAGCUGCCCCAGAAGAGCUGAAAGAGGCUGCCCCCUGUUCGCACGUCUAGGAAGAAGGGAAGAGGUGGAAACCCUGAAAGCAGUAGGCUUAGUUCUGGCCUGUCCCCUCCAAGGGGCUUGAGUGAUCCCUGCUGGAAAAAAAAAAAAAAAAAAAAAAAAAAAAAA
rnacentral:lncRNA from 1 species